AUACAGAGGGUGCGAGCGUUAAUCGGAAUUACUGGGCGUAAAGCGCGCGUAGGCGGCUGAUUAAGUCAGAUGUGAAAUCCCAGGGCUCAACCUUGGAACUGCAUCUGAUACUGGUCAGCUAGAGUUUAGGAGAGGGAAGUAGAAUUUCAGGUGUAGCGGUGAAAUGCAUAGGUAUCUGAAGGAAUACCAGUGGCGAAGGCGGCUUCCUGGCCUAAAACUGACGCUGAGGUGCGAAAGCGUGGGUAGCAAACGGGAUUAGAAACCCCUGUAGUCC
rnacentral:rRNA from 1 species